rnacentral:rRNA from 1 species
GACGAACGCUGGCGGCGUGCUUAACACAUGCAAGUCGAGCGGUAAGGCCCUUUCGGGGGUACACGAGCGGCGAACGGGUGAGUAACACGUGGGUGACCUGCCCUCAGCUCUGGGAUAAGCCUGGGAAACCGGGUCUAAUACUGGAUAUGACUCCAUGACGCAUGUUGUGGGGUGGAAAGCCUUGUGCGGCUGAGGAUGGGCCCGNGGCCUAUCAGCUUGUUGGUGGGGUGANGGCCUACCAAGGCGACGACGGGUAGCCGGCCUGAGAGGGCGACCGGCCACACUGGGACUGAGACACGGCCCAGACUCCUACGGGAGGCAGCAGUGGGGAAUCUUGCGCAAUGGGCGAAAGCCUGACGCAGCGACGCCGCGUGAGGGAUGACGGCCUGG